AAGCCGAAUGAUGAUUUUUUGGAUAAUAUCUCACGACGGUCGUCUGAGGUACAUUCGUGUGCCAAAUUGAUGUGAAAAUCCAAAAUUUCUGAUGGUU